AGUGAACGCUGGCGGUAGGCCUAACACAUGCAAGUCGAACGGUGGCUUCGGCCACAGUGGCGCACGGGUGAGUAACACGUGGGAAUUUGCCUUUCGGUUCGGGAUAACGUCUGGAAACGGACGCUAACACCGGAUACGCCCUUCGGGGGAAAGUUUACGCCGAGAGAGAAGCCCGCGUCCGAUUAGGUAGUUGGUGGGGUAACGGCCUACCAAGCCGACGAUCGGUAGCUGGUCUGAGAGGAUGAUCAGCCACACUGGGACUGAGACACGGCCCAGACUCCUACGGGAGGCAGCAGUGGGGAAUAUUGGACAAUGGGGGCAACCCUGAUCCAGCAAUGCCGCGUGAGUGAUGAAGGCCUUAGGGUUGUAAGGCUCUUUCGCACGCGACGAUGAUGACGGUAGCGUGAGAAGAAGCCCCGGCUAACUUCGUGCCAGCCGCCGCCGUAA
rnacentral:rRNA from 1 species